UGGGCAACCUGCCCCUCUCUCUGGGAUAACCCCGGGAAACCGGAUCUAAUACCGGAUACUCCGGCUGGAUCGCAUGGUCCGGCCGGGAAAGGUCCGCCGGAGAGGGAUGGGCCCGCGGCCUAUCAGCUUGUUGGUGGGGUCAUGGCUCACCAAGGCGACGACGGGUAGCAGGUCUGAGAGGGCGACCGGCCACACUGGGACUGAGACACGGCCCAGACUCCUACGGGAGCA
rnacentral:rRNA from 1 species